GAUGAACGCUGGCGGCGUGCCUAAUACAUGCAAGUCGAGCGAACGGACGAGAAGCUUGCUUCUCUGAUGUUAGCGGCGGACGGGUGAGUAACACGUGGAUAACCUACCUAUAAGACUGGGAUAACUUCGGGAAACCGGAGCUAAUACCGGAUAAUAUUUUGAACCGCAUGGUUCAAAAGUGAAAGACGGUCUUGCUGUCACUUAUAGAUGGAUCCGCGCUGCAUUAGCUAGUUGGUAAGGUAACGGCUUACCAAGGCAACGAUGCAUAGCCGACCUGAGAGGGUGAUCGGCCACACUGGAACUGAGACACGGUCCAGACUCCGACGGGAGGCAGCAGUAGGGAAUCUUCCGCAAUGGGCGAAAGCCUGACGGAGCAACGCCGCGUGAGUGAUGAAGGUCUUCGGAUCGUAAAACUCUGUUAUUAGGGAAGAACAUAUGUGUAAGUAACUGUGCACAUCUUGACGGGACCUAAUCAGAAAGCCACGGCUAACUACGU
rnacentral:rRNA from 1 species